CGCACAUUGCGCCCCCCGGUAUUCCGAGGGGCAUGCCUGUCCGAGCGUCAUUACAACUCUCAAGCGCAGCUUGGUAAUGGGUAUUCGCCUCCUUGCCACGGGGCGUGCCUGAAAAGUAGUGGCAGUCUAGUGUGACUUUAGAUGUAUUAAAUCUCUUCCAUCUUGAAAGUUAUUGCUGUGGCUAGCCAAAAACCAACCCCAUCUCAAAGAUUGACCUCGGAUCAGGUAGGGAUACCCGCUGAACUUAA
rnacentral:misc_RNA from 1 species